rfam:Camelus ferus unplaced genomic scaffold scaffold760, whole genome shotgun sequence.
GGAGGUAUAGCUCAAAUGGUAGAGUGCAUGUUUAGCGUGCAUGAGGUCCUGGGUUCAAUCCCCAGUACCCCCU